UAGGGAAUAUUAGUAAUCUGGGCAACCGGGAACUAGCAACGCCGCGUGUGCGAUGAAGGCCCUCGGGUUGUAAAGCACUUUUUAAGGGAAUGAGAAAGGACAGUACCCUUAGAAUAAGUCUCGGCUAACUACGUGCCAGCAGCCGCGGUAAGACGUAGGAGACGAGCGUUAUUCGGAUUUACUGGGCGUAAAGCGCGUGCAGGCGGUUUGGUAAGUUGGAUGUGAAAGCUCUCGGCUCAACCGGGAGAGGUCGUUCAAAACUGCCAGACUAGAGAAUAGGAGAGGGAGGUGGAAUUCCGGGUGUAGUGGUGAAAUGCGUAGAUAUCCGGAGGAACACCAGUGGCGAAGGCGACCUCCUGGCCUAUUUCUGACGCUCAGACGCGAAAGCUAGGGUAGCAAUCGG
rnacentral:rRNA from 1 species